GCCGCGGUAGCUCAGUGGUAGAGCGCACCCUUGGUAAGGGUGAGGUCGAGAGUUCAAUUCUCUCUCGUGGCA
rnacentral:tRNA from 1 species